CAAAGAGUAGUUUAAUUUAGAAUUUUAGCUUUGGGAGUUAACGGUAGGGGUUAAAAUCCCUUCUCUUUGA
rnacentral:tRNA from 2 species